CAAACCGGAGGAGCAGUAAACAGUGAGAGCAUGUUCAGAACUGUGGACGUCCAAAAUCAGAACUGCUGUGAGGAACCGGGACAUCCAGGAUGCUGAGGAGCCUCCUAGUCCCCACCUGAGGACGGCACAGAGGAGAACACGUGCAGAGAAGCAGGUUGAAUAUGGAAGCAGCGUUCUAACAGUCGGAUCUCAGGGGAACAGAGUCCAUCCACACGUAUUUGGAGGAGCUAAAGCAGAGGAUGGGGAACACAGACCACCAAGGAGGAGAAACAUGGCUGCCCUGCUCGUCUCUCCAACAUUCUGGAGUCCUGGAAUGAAAAACGUCGACGACCCCACAGCUAAACCAUCAGUCUGCUCCACCCAGA